rnacentral:lncRNA from 1 species
UAGAGUGUUAAGAGAAGGGUAGAUCUGAGAAAGAAAAUUUGUUUCCAGGGGGUAGCUUGCAAGGUUGCUCAGAUUUGUUUUAAUUGGUGGUUUUAAAAUGUUGCAAACUUUGAAAAUACAUAGAAACUUGUAGAAAAAUGCUAAAAAUGUGAUUCUUAUUUUGUUGGUUUCCUUGUGGUAUAUAGUUUAUUUCAAAAAUGAUUUUUGUGCAUGUUGUUGUUUUAUACUUUGUGCUAUGAUUUAUUUUGUGUGGAAGCCAUUAAAUGCUUUAUAGAUCACCUAGUGCACUAAAAAUUGUAAAACUACUUUUGUUAGCUUCCUUGUAACAUGCAUGUUUCAGAUAUAUAACUUGUUUUAGUAGAAUCCUUGUUGUUCCUACUGUUUUAGAGUUCAAUGCUUGCUUGCUAUGUU